rnacentral:ncRNA from 1 species
GUAAAUACGCUGAUAGGGAGUAGUAGGUAACUGGAUGGAUACAGAGAGCCGGCGGAUGGUGCGAGCCGGUGACAAAAGGUUAUUGAACUGGCCCUGGAGUAGCUUGCCCCAACAUAAGACUGCCGGACACACGGGGGUCAGGGUCAGUAGGGCAGGCCGGAGACCUUACCGUUAUAAGAGGAAUAAGUGCAUGCAUGAGCAUGAACCAGAGUGGUACCGCGUGAGGAUUUAAGCCCCACGUCUCUAGC